rnacentral:lncRNA from 1 species
CAGACCUUGUGACGAGCAGGGAGGAGCCAGAUGUGCCGCAGGUUGGGCAGGUCUGAAAGAGCCCACGGUGAAGGAGGGACACGUCUUUCAUGGCCCCCUGGACUGAAAACUCAACUCAAAGGGGACAGAUGACCUGUUCAAGUUCCCCCAGUGAGUUAAAUAAAGGAAGAAACAGAGAUGUUGAGCAAGGCGCUGUUCCUAUUGUCGAUGAAAAUAAUCCACAACCAAUCUAUAAAUGAAAAUUUGGGAAAUUGCCAUCAUGGACAAAUCCAAAAUGAAGUAGACGUGGAAGGCUGAGAUUUGGAACAAACUGCUAUGGCUGGGAAGUAGCAAGUAGAGUCCUAUAGACCACCCAGCCUGGAAAGUAUCAUCCUAUUUGCUGCUGUCAUUCCAGGCCACGUAUCCUUCCAAGUACCCUUCCACGUGACCUUCCCUCUGCUUGUCUUGCCAAAUGGCAGUAGCAAAAAUGGAGGAGGGGCUUUGGUCUCAGCAGCCAGGUAAUCAGCCCUAGAUCUAGAAUUGCUUUUUGCUGUGUGCUUAGCUUGAAUUCAACACCUCUGUUUUCAUCAUCUCCAACACUAUUGCCACCAUGGCUAUAUUGCUGUUACUUUCAGUACUCAUCAAAUGCCAAAUACUGUGUUAUCAUCUGCUACAACAGCAUCAUCAUUACCACUGUCCCCACUACUACCACUACAACCUCUGCUCAAUCUCACCAUUGCUAUUACCACCUCCACCAGCUCCAUCACCUUCACCACUACCACCAGCACCACCACAAUUACAAGUACUACCACUACUACCUCCACUAAUUCUCACCAUCACUGCUACCACUGUCAAUUCCACAACCACCACCUUUCACAUCCUUAUUGUCACCACCACUGCUACCAGCACCAUCGUAUCCUCUGCCUUUGGCACUACUACAACUGUCAUCACCACCAUCACCUCCACCAUCUCUACCACUACCACUAUCACCACCAUCAUAACCAUAACUACUGUACUUAACUACUGUACUGCC